GACCUCUCUGUCUCGGCCGUGAAUUUAUGUGAACGAAAUGAGUUCUUGAUUGAGAUCAAUAAUUGGAAAUCAAAGGGAAAAGAAUGGGUAUUACCGUGACUUGUGGUGGUAGAAACUUGAAGACCAAGAGCUCAUCUCUUCUCUUUCUCUCUCGAAUUGAAGAUGGAAGAUGGAAGGUCACCUUGGAAGAUUGGGAGUCUCAGGAGUUGAGGAGUUGGCGUUAGGGAAGGGAGGAAAGAGCCAACCACCAUGAUUACGAGUUACUUGGUGGUUUAUUUUGCAGGUAAUUGCUGCAGAGUGGGGUGCAAACCGAUGGGGAAUCUGCCGUGAAGAAAAGAAAUAAGGAGUGGGCUCAAAAGAUAUCUCUUUUAAUUUAAAAGCCUAAAGCCAAAAUGUAAAAAAAACAUUGGACUUUAUUUAAUUGAGAAGCCCAAAUUUUACUUUUCACAUAUCUUUUUAUUAAUUAAAGUUCAC